GAAAAUUUUAUUUUUUCAAGUGAAGUCUUCAUAUUUGUCAAUCUUUCUUCUCUUUUUAUGGAGAGUUCAGGCCAACUUGCAGGUACCUCGUUUAACUUUAUGAUCUACUUGCGACCUCCCACCAACAUAGACACCACGAGGUAAGUGUUUUUGGCCUCUCCUGAAAUAAGAACUUAUGACCUCAUGGUUUUCAAUCCACUUCAU
rnacentral:misc_RNA from 1 species